rnacentral:RNase_P_RNA from 1 species
UUGGAAAGUCCGAUACGAAUUAAAGAUAAUAGACUAAAUAAAUCUAUUCUGUAAGAACAGAAGACAUUUAAAAGAAACUAGAAAUUUAAUUAUUUUAAUUAAAUAAAGCGAGCAAAUUAAUCUUAUCUUCGUUUUUAAUAGAUAAUAAAUACAGAUGACAGAAUUCGGCUUAU